AGAGUUUGAUUCUGGCUCAGGAUGAACGCUAGCUACAGGCUUAACACAUGCAAGUCGAGGGGCAGCAUUGGAGUAGCAAUACUUCAGAUGGCGACCGGCGCACGGGUGAGUAACACGUAUCCAACCUGCCGCUUACUCGGGGAUAGCCUUUCGAAAGAAAGAUUAAUACCCGAUGGUAUAAAGAGUUCGCAUGUUCUCUUUAUUAAAGAAUUUCGGUAAGCGAUGGGAUGCGUUCCAUUAGAUAGCUGGCGGGUAACGGCCCACCAAGUCUACGAUGGAUAGGGGUUCUGAGAGGAAGGUCCCCCACGUUGGAACUGAGACACGGUCCAAACUCCUACGGGAGGCAGCAGUGAGGAAUAUUGGUCAAUGGACGAGAGUCUGAACCAGCCAAAAGUAGCGUGAAGGAUGACUGCCCUAUGGGUUGUAAACUUCUUUUAUAAGGGAAUAAAGCGAGGGACGUGUCCCUUUUUGUAUGUACCUUAUGAAUAAGGAUCGGCUAACUCCGUGCCAGCCGCCGC
rnacentral:rRNA from 1 species